AACGAACGCUGGCGGCGUGCCUAAUACAUGCAAGUCGAACGCAGUGGGGACGGGUGAGUAACAACUGGGUAACCUCCCAUCAGAGGGGAUAACACUUGGAAACAGGUGCUAAACCGAUACUGAUGGAUGGACCCGCGGGUCAUUAGCUAGUUGGUGGGGUAACGGCUUACCAAGGCCACGAUGCAUAGCCGGCCUGAGAGGAUGAUCGGCCACACUGGGACUGAGACACGGCCCAGACUCCUACGGGAGGCAGCAGUAGGGAAUCUUGCGCAAUGGACGAAAGUCUGACCGAGCAACGCCGCGUGAGUGAAGAAGGUUUUCGGAUCGUAAAACGCUGUUGUUAGAGAAGCGGUAUCUAACCAGAAAGCCACGGCUAACUACGUGCCAGCAGCCGCGGUAAUUC
rnacentral:rRNA from 1 species